rnacentral:lncRNA from 1 species
UCCUCUUGACCUGUGACUCCCAGUCUUAGUGUCAGAGAAGAAAUCAGAAGCAAAAUGAUUAUUCUGAAGGCAGAAGAAAAACAAAUAGAAAGUUACGUGCUGGCCAGGUGCGGUGGCUCACACGUGUAAUCCUAACACUUUGGGAAGCCGAGGUGAGCAGAUCACUUGAGGUCAGGAGUUCAAGACCAGCCUGGCCAACAUGGUGAAACCCUGUCUCUACUAAAAAUACAAAAAAUUAGCUGGGCAUGGUGGCAUGCACCUGUAAUCCCAGCUACUCGGGAGGCUGAGGUAUGGGAAUCCCUUGAACCUGGGAGGCGGAGGUUGCAGUGAGCCAAGAUCGUGCCACUGCACUCCAGCCUGGGGGAUAGAGCAAGACUCUAUCUCCAAAAAAGUAAAACAAAAGAAAGAAAAAAAAAGAAAGGUAUACGCCAUAUAAAUGAGAGAGGUCCUUGGAGCUGGGAGGGUGGGCUUCUUAGCCCCGGUGCUAGGAACUAAGAAUGAGUAACAACUGAAAAAUCCCUCUCUUUAGCGGGUAGCAGGUCACCCGCUCGCACUUGACUGAUAGUUGUGGGACACCUUGGCUCUCUUUAGGAACACGUCUUUGAUAACCUGAAGGAGAAAAAAAAAUAAACAUGGAUUUCUAAGUUGGCUAUAACUGACUCCAGCUUUCCUGCUAAAAGCUCUAAUGAUAUCUUCAUGUCAGUGUGAGUGAGGUUGAUGAAGCAGAUGGGAACCUGUUUUCAGGGGUGAAUGAAUAGCAAAUCGCUGGAGAAGAGCAUGGUUGGCCUGCAGUUCCUAGGUCAUAAUGCUCUCGAAAGAAACAAAGGCGUGUAUUUCCAUUCCUUUCUCCCCAGCCCCACCCCCAGGAUAUAAGCUCUGUGCAGAUGGGCACUUUGGCUUGUCCGUUCAACCACUUUCUCCUCAGCACCUAGGACAGGGCCUGAAGGAGCUCCGCACAUGCUUGGAUGAGGCACACGUGAUGUGAUGAUGACCAUCACCCAGGUUUGAAAAGAGGAACUGAAGGAAUUAAUGAUCCCUUACUUGCAAACCUUCUCAUCUUUCCAGAACCUCCCUUUCUGCCUCAGUUUCCCCUCUCUUUCCAGAGGCUGGCAUUUGGAAGCCCUGGGUCAUUAUGAUUCUUCCUCCACUGCUCACCACGUUCCAUUCAUUGGCAAAUCAUGUCCUUUCUGAUCUACAGUGUCCUUUGGAUUCCCUCUGCCAGGCUCUGUCUGUGCAACUGGAUGCUGAUUCCUGAGAGCGG